rnacentral:sRNA from 1 species
AAUUGGGAUUUCAGUUUCGUUUUGAUAAUCGACUCGUGUGGGCGUCGUUGUAGUCGUCGUCAUCGUCGUUCCGUAUGUGAGCCGAGAGCAGCGCAGUCGAAGUUCUUUUCGUAAAAAAUGCGUGCGCUGUUCUUGUUCUUGUUGUUACGCUUCUGCCAAUUCUGCUCAUGCAACGGCAACAUCGGCAACGUCAACGCAUCAUUUGCAAAUUAGCAGCAGCAGCAACAGUUGCAAGCGCGCAGCACCAGCAACGGUCAAAACAAAAUUCGUUGAACGAAUUCAUAAUAAUUCAAAAGUGCAAAAGUGUGCACGAGUGUGUGUGUGUCUAAUUUGUCAAAAUGAGCACACGCCGCCAACGAUAUGUAAAGUGAGUAAAACACACGGAAAAAAAAAA